rnacentral:misc_RNA from 1 species
GAAAUACUUUUUCUUUUGAAAAUUUUAACCUAUAUUUAUAUAAGGCUACAAAUAAUAAUCCAAAUGCAAAUUCAAUUGGAAGGCCAUUAUUCAUGCCACUAUUCAUUAGGCUCUACUAUAAAAUAAAAACCUUAUUAAGAUCCAUAUUUGAGACAAAACGAAUGUUAGUGUCUAUUUCAAUUGGAGUGGGGGACAACAUUCUAAGUUUCUUAGAAUUCCAUUUGGAAAAAUUUUAAAAAGAAGUAAUAGUGAACAAAAGUGAAAGAAAUAGUGAGAGAAGAAAGAAAGGUGGAGAGGAAGGAGAGAGAAAGUAUGGGGAGAAAAAUCAGAGAAUUGUGAAAGAGGAGAGAUUGGAGAAAAAGGGAAGAAUACAAGAAAAUGAAGAGACUGAGAGAGGGAAUUGUGGAAACCAUAUUUGGAUUUUUUUUUCUUCUCAUCUAUUUUUGGUGAAAUUCUCUUU